CCCCCCCGCAGUUCACAGCUCUCUCUGCCGUCUUGGAGCUCACGCCAAAUUUUCUCAGUCUGUCCAAUAUUGGCUUAUCGAAUCAGCAAUUCAGCCCAGUGGAUUUAAAGGCAAAUACAACUUUUUUCUUUUUUUUUAAAGCAAAACCUUCUACCCCAGUCUAAGCAGCUCUGCCUGGCCCACCAUUUGCCAAAGGACUCUGUUCUCAGAAAUACUCCUUUGCCCAGUGCUGCUCGCGAUAAAGACCAGAAACACACACUGCGGGUCAGAAGCGUGACAGCCGCCAUCUCUGCGGUUCAUAGUCGGUCUCUCCUCCGAGGCAGGUGGAAGGAGAUUUUAAUCUUCAUUUUACAGACAGGGAAGCGAAGGGGGCGUCUUGCUCGUGAUGACGCGGCCAGGAAUUCGUGGAGGAUCCGGGCUCCUUAUGUUCUUCCAACGCCCUCCAAACUAUUAGCAUCAAAGGAAGAGGGGCUCAUUAUUAGCCAGAAUACUUGUUUAAAUAGAAUAAAAGAGCUACUGAUCCGUGAGCGUCCACUCUGAGCCUUCCCAGUACCAAGUGCCCUAUAACGUGAUUUCACUUAAUGUGCACAGUUUACCCAGCGGCCGUCCCUCCUGCUUGCACCUUCUUAAAAACUUCCGAUUUUCUUGCAAGUGUCUGCCCGGUCCCUCCAGAGUGCAAGCACAAGCCAGGUCGCACUUCGGCCACAGUCACUGGAGUGCGUGGAAUACACACUCCUUGUUUCCGCCAGCUGUGGACCAGGAAGCACACAGCCCAAGAGUCGCCUGCCUGUCAGCUCAGGGCAACGCUAUGUCGGUUAACGGAAAGCCGCAUCUGGGCAGAUGUGUGUAGCCGGGGAGGGAGCCGGCUCAGCGAUGGCAGAGCUUCCGGGGAGGCCUGGCCCAGCUGUGGGAGGGACGUGGGCCCAGAGUGCCAGCAGAAAGGACAUGCAGAGAGUGGAUGGGGCUGUGCUCCUUUGGCCACGCCCUGCCUGUCCUCAGCUGCCACGAGCCUGGCCAAGCUGUUGCGACUUCUGAGGGGCCUGAGGGCUUCAGUGACCAGCUUUCCCUGGCUGCUACCCGAGGGCCUUCCUGUGUCCUGCAGGGGGCAGGGCAAGGGUGGGAGUGCGGACUUGGCUGGGAGGAGGGGAAGGUUGACAGGCGGCCAUGGACCCUGGCGCUGUGCGCCUCACUGGUCUCACUGGAGCUAAGGGGGCGCCAAGGAGAGGGACCCCCAAUAAGGAGGCUGAGGCUUGGUCUCUUUACACCCCACGUCUGUGUUUUGGCUCAAAAGGUUCAGAAAUUCCAUGCCUGAGCACGGGGAGGAUAGAGUGGCUCCCCACUGCUCCCAGCAGGAGGUGGCACCUCAGUGCCCUCAAUGGACAGUAGAGGGGAGCUGCCCUAAAGGAGCAUUUUGCAGACGUGUUCCUUAGAGCUCAAGGUGUUUGUAAGACAUAACAGACGCUCUGUAAAAAGAUUUUGUAAUCAGCUGUCUCCUUUGCCCCCUCUUGGAAAGUCAUACAGCCCUUUAGUGUAUUAAAGGCUCUGAGAAGUCCUGCAUCCUUGUGCCUGUUUGACUCAGGGUUCCCAGCACACACCCAGGGACACCUGUGGAGGACCAGGUUCCCUGGAGUGUGGUUUGGGAAACUGCACUGGCUGUGGUCCUCUCUGAGGCUGGCCAUUCUCUUGAGAACAGGCCAGGCUUGUCACAGAGGUGAUUUAUGAGUUGGAGAGCCAAUUCAUUAACUUGCAGGGAAACCAUCUUCGCCGGCCUAAUCGAUCGACGGAUGGCAGCAAUUUGCCGAGGCGGUCCCUCCUGGUGCGGGAAGUGAAUGCAGAGGCCGACAAUGGCUUGGAAGUCGAUUGAAGGAGCCCGAGGAGGAGAAAGGGGUUGGUGUUCUUGGGAAUAUCCAUUUCUCCCCACACCGGCAGCGGCUAAACAGACCAUUCCUGGCAGGAUUUUCCUACAUAUCUUUCUUCGUGUGCCACCAUCUGGGAACCUCACGAUGACCUGCUGGCAAAAAGCAGUGAGACC
ensembl:lncRNA